rnacentral:rRNA from 1 species
UACGUAGGGUGCAAGCGUUAAUCGGAAUUACUGGGCGUAAAGCGUGCGCAGGCGGUUAUGUAAGACAGGUGUGAAAUCCCCGGGCUUAACCUGGGAACUGCAUUUGUGACUGCAUCGCUGGAGUACGGCAGAGGGGGAUGGAAUUCCGCGUGUAGCAGUGAAAUGCGUAGAUAUGCGGAGGAACACCGAUGGCGAAGGCAAUCCCCUGGGCCUGUACUGACGCUCAUGCACGAAAGCGUGGGGAGCAAACAGG